GCAUUCCCUUCGGGGAAGGUGGACAGCGGCGCAAGGGAGAGUAACGCGUAGAUUAUCUACCUCUAGGCCUGGGAUAGCGGCGGGAAACUGCCGGUAAUACCGGAUAAUGUCCCCGGACCAAAGGUGUGAUUCCGCCUAGAGAUGAGUCUGCGUCCUAUUAGCUUGUUGGUGGGGUAAUGGCCUACCAAGGCAACGAUGGGUACCGGGUGUGAGAGCAUGGCCCGGCUCACUGGGACUGAGACACUGCCCAGACACCUACGGGUGGCUGCAGUCGAGAAUCUUCGGCAAUGGGCGAAAGCCUGACCGAGCGACGCCGCGUGCGGGAUGAAGGCCUUCGGGUUGUAAACCGCUGUCAGAGGGAAGGAAAUACAUGGGGGCAAUCCCCCAUGCUUGACCGAUCCUCAGAGGAAGUACGGGCUAAGUUCGUGCCAGCAGCCGCGGUAAGACGAACCGUACGAACGUUAUUCGGAAUCACUGGGCUUAAAGGGUGCGUAGGCGGCCUAGUAAGUUGGGUGUGAAAUCCCACGGCUCAACCGUGGAACUGCGCUCAAUACUGCUGGGCUUGAGGGAGAUAGAGGUGAGCGGAACUAAUGGUGGAGCGGUG
rnacentral:rRNA from 1 species